UCUUUGGUUUGUUUUUUUUGGCUAAGAAGUUGAGGCGCCAGCAUCGAGUGCUUCACGUAGGAUGGCACACAUAAUCAGUAGCAGAACGUACUGUGGCCAGAUUCUCAGUUGGCUGCCGGCCACUACAACUUAAAAGAGUGAAAUGUAUCGGUUCAUAGGAAUGAUGCCGAUUGAUUUGAUUUGAUAUACUGAAGUUCUUCUCCCUUCUGGUCCUCUUUCUAGGGGACAGGAGAAGGAGAUUACAAGUGGGCUUAAGGAGGGAGGCAGGGUCUGGAGACUCUCAAAGUGGAUGCUAUCCCCAAGUGCCUCUUCCAUAUUUGCUUUCUAAAGGACAAAAGAGGCUGGAUCACAAGAUCAGAGGGCCGACUGCCAGGGAAAGUUGCCUUAAGGAGCCGUCUCUUUCAAGUAAGAGACUUUCUUAUGUACUUUGCUCACUGUCUUCAGAUUCUAGAUGGAGCUGCCUGGUGCUCAGCUUCUCCCCUGCCUGUGCUGAACCCGCCAUGGUAGUUAUCACGCUUGGCACUGUCCUUAUCUGAGCUCUUCUCUGCCUCUCUAAUUGCAAAUGAGACUGUGUGCUUGUUGAGAUAGUGUUUACAACAAUUCUUUUUUGGAUGACCAGCACCCAGCACUGUGUGAUGAAAUACCAAUGAUACCACAGCUUGAAGUUCUUUGUGGAAUCAAGCAUUCAGUGGACAUUAGUGACUUAAAUAGAAAAUGCAUCAUCUUUCAAGAUAAAGGUCCUCUGUGACUUACACUGGUCUCAAGAUUGUCCAGCCUUGUUUCCACUUCGAAACCCAAGAGGAAGUUCUCUGUUCUGGAAAUAGAAUGAGAGGAUGGGAUUAUCCUUCAGGGUGGUGGGGGAAAACAAGGACCGCGAGUUGUGAGGAUAUAUUGGAAUCAACCACAGUAAACUGUUGGAAAUUCUGGACCAGCAAUGAGAAGAAGUAUGUUUAAGCAUUGGGAAGCUACUUAAAUUUGCAGAAGACCAGAAUUCCCAUCUCUCAACUGAUGAUUAAAUAAAACUCAAUUGACCUCUCAAGGUUAUUGCUAGGGCCAACUGGAAGUAAUCUAUAUGUUGACUGUGGAGAGUUCCGUGAUCCCAAGGUCUUCUGUACUCGGGAAUCCAACCCCCACUGUGGCUCCGAUGGCCAGACAUAUGGCAAUAAAUGUGCCUUCUGUAAGGCAGUGGUGAAAAGUGAUGGGAAGAUUAUCCUAAA